ACAAUUAUCUUUCUAUGAUAAUUGCUAAUAAUACAAGCUAGUAUUUAUAAGUGUUUACUAUAAUCAAGCAGUAUCCUAAGUGCUUUAUGUAUAUAAACACUUAAUUUACACAAGGACCUUCUGAGAUUGUAUGACUACCCACUGCUCAAGAUGACAAAAGAGGUAUGAAGAUUAUGUAAUUUGCCCAGGGUCACACAAAUUAUAAGUAGAGAAGGCACACCUCACCCUGUCUUCCAUGCUCCUAAAUGCAUGGAGCAGCUAGCUAUCUGAGAUCUCAGAGAAGUAAAUGGUAGCAGGGAGAAAAAACAAAAUUCAAAGUUCCACUAAAAAAUGGUGAGUUCACCAUUUUUCCUCCUCCAGUAUCAUCCAAAAUGGACUCAAAGGCAGCCAAAACCAGAAAUGAACAUCAGAUGUGAACUGAAAGAACUCUUCUUGGAACCCUCUAUUGCAGGUGUGAGGAGCAGAAAGGGACUCCUAAGAGCCCCAAGCACACCAUGGUGGUGAUAGCUACAACAGUGACAGCAAGAGUGGCUGAGCAGGCACUUGAAAUUCUGAGAGGAGAAUCCCUAUCUCUGACCAGAAGAGUUGUGGUCCCACAAGUGAAACUGAUGUUGAGAGAUGAAGAAUCUUCCCCAGAGUUGUAGAUAACUGUUGGAACAACAUAUCACUGCUGAGAACUAGAGUCACAGGCCUGCGGAAUAAGUGUUGGGUUGAAGGGUGGACCUCACCCAAGAGCAGGGAGCAGGGGUGAAAAUUAGUUCAUGUGUCUGAAAGCCAGAACCCAAAUGGGAGAGCUUGUGAAACACUGGAGUGACUCACCUAGAUGGCAAUAAGGGCAGCCUUUGCCCUGCUACAGCCCCUACUCAGAACUACACCCAUGUGUGGGUGCUGGCACAGAAAUUCAGGUUGAGAUUGGGCACUGCUGUAGCCUAAGAUUUUGUAGCUAGGAGGAACCUACAUAGCUGAGGUCCAGGGAAAUGAAUGACCUGCCCAAGACCACAUGGCUAGGUUGGUGGCAGAGCUGAGUUGAAGACCCAGCCUCUGGGCUCCUUCUGUAACUCCAGUGCUUUUUCAUGUGCUGCCUCCUCAGGAGACUAAGGCUACUCCCCCUGCUAGAGGAAGUAAACAUGUGUCUAUCUGGACAGAGCAGAUUAUACUUGAAGCUGAGGGCUGUAGACACUCUGAGUUCCAUCAACCAUAACUCAGCACCCAGCACCCAGAUGGAGGUUGGAUUAGCUAUACCUGUUUAACCUCUGGAAUUCUUGGGUUCUGGUGUGGUUUUUUUUGUUUUUAUGUUUUUAUUAAUUUCUAGAGAGAAAGGG